UACGGAAGGGGCAAGCGUUGUUCGGAAUCAUUGGGCGUAAAGGGCGCGUAGGCGGUCGCGUGUGUCUGCUGUGAAAGCACACGGCUCAACCGUGUGAAGUCGGUAGAAACUGCGGGACUUGAGGCUGGGAGAGGUUGGUGGAAUUCCCUAUGUAGCGGUGAAAUGCGUAGAUAUAGGGGAGAACAUUCGUGGCGAAGGCGGCCAGCUGGACCAGCCCUGACGCUGAGGCGCGACAGCGUGGGGAGCAAACAGG
rnacentral:rRNA from 1 species